CCUUCUCUCCGUGCUACGCCUCUGUCACUCUGGAGCGCCUCUUCUCUCACAGACAUAGGAGACCAAGGAAUGUGGAUAAUUUGUGCUGACGCAGGCAAGGAGAGCAAGAAGUAGAACACAUAGGAGCCAAUCAUCAGCCGCGGGAAGUGUGGGACGCUUGGUGACGACGGCGCGGUCCUACAGUGUGCCACACACCCCCCGGACAAGUGUGCUUGUUUAGAGUGCCGGUUAGAACCAGUGCAGGCCGACCAGCGGCACUGUGGGUGAGGGCGCCGCCCACUGAGGAUGCCUGCUCCACCACCAAUGCCACUACCACCACCACCAUCACUGCCAUCACCACUUCAACCACCACCACUUCCAACGCCAUCAACGCCAAAAAAGGCUUACGUAACUGUCCUUCCUGUGGUGGGGAGUAACUCGCCUCGAGGCUAACGGUGAUGGAGCACAUGAACAGCGCCUGACGUCUCUCCUUGUGUGCAGUAGUGGAAGCAGGAACAGUGACAUCUUCUGGAGAAGAGGGUGCCGCCUGCAAGUUCACCGUGGACAAAAUUAACGACGAUGACACAACCCCAGCGAGGGCGGCUGUGAUGUGUGUGCUGCAGGACAGCAAGACGUUUGAGAAUGCAUGGGUUAAUACUACUGUGAUGUCAGCGUCUCUCUCUAAGUCUGCUGCUGUAUAACAAGGGCUCGGGACGGCACAGUGUCACUCCCUGAGGUUUCCCUGUCUGCACCCUCUCGUCUCCUGUUUUCUCUCCGUGUCGCCGGCGCCGCCGUCGCCGCUAUGAACAAGUACUUACACGGGCUGAUCCUCGUUGAGUACCGCCCCAACACUGGUCCCGAACAGACACUAUGUAGUGUUCCUCCAUCACCAGCGAGACGGAGUGUAAAAGAUAAUGGCCGCCUCCUGGAGGAGUGGCUGCGCUUCUCCUUCAACAAUUUCAGGCGCUGCCGAUACAAAGGUCUGACUCAGAAGAAAUUCUGCUUCACCUGUAGCAUCAAGAUCAAGAUCAAGCCCUCUCACCAGGUAGUGUUUAAACCCAUCUGUGCUUUUUGGAGAAGUGGUAAUGUAGAUAUGUGACAUUAAAAUUCCGGUAAAACGGCAAAAUUAAACUAAUAAAGGCGGGUUCACACGUGUCAAUAUGCAACUGAAAUUGCAAGUCGCUAGAAGAAUUGACAGAGCCUUUCUAGUCGGAAUACGUUUACACAGCGACUGGAAAGUAUCGGCUAGUUGGUGAGAAGUGAAUGUAAACAAACAGCUACCCAAGAAGAUGUCUUUCUUCGGUGACGAUCAAAUUAAAUCACCACAAGUAUUCACCUCCAACAACACCUUACAUAGAGGGAAACAGUUCUUGGAGAGUGGCAGCGAUCUCAUCGAACGUCGAUUUGCUGUAUAAUCUAUUGUUAGGGUCGGAAGGGUCCUAGAUGUGCUCUUUUUUCCCUCAACCACUCCAAAAUCUUCCCUACAUUUGGAUACCACAUUUUCAAACCUUUCUCCGUGACGUCACAACGUAAACAAAGUCGCAAAUCGACUGAAUAAAGGCAGGUUCAAACGUGUCAUAUUGGGACUGAAAUUGCUGAUCGGUAGUUCCCGACUGAAUAUCGCAAAAAAUACCAAACGUUGGUUUUGUUCAGUCGAUUUGCGACUUUGUUACGUUGUGACGUCACGGAGAAAGGUUUUAAAGUGUAGUGUCGGUGUAAAGAUGAUGAUUUUGGAGUUAGUGAAGGAAAAAGAGCACAUCUGAGACCCUAAAAGUGAAUUAAUUCUACAACAGAAAAAGCUUACCCAAAUCGGCGUUGGUUGAGAUAGCUGCCACUCUCCGAUGACUGUUUCCUUCUAUGCAGGGUGGUGUUGGUGAGGAUUGAGUACUUGUGAUGAUUUAAUCUGAUCGCAAUUAUGUAGUCUUCAUAAGAUAAAACCACUGCUUCAGCAUCGUCACCAGAGAAGACAUUUGGGUAGCUGUUAAUUACGUUCCUUUCCUGCCAACCAGCCGAUACUUUCCAGUCGUUAUGUGUAUUGUGUGAACAUGUGCCGACUAGAAGGGCUCUCUCUCCAUGUCUAUAGCACCUUACAAUUUCAGUCACAUAUUCACAUGUGUGAACCCGCCUUUAACAUAAGGUUUCUUCACCAGAGAGGAUUGAAGAAGUGUGGGAAGGAAUUUAUUAUGUCAAACCAAGGGUCUAAGUUAGGUGAUAGGUUACGGGAUUUACUCACUGUUGAGGUCAAUUUGAUCCUUAUUAGGUAAACCCAGGUAGUGAUUCGUAGGUGCACCAGGUUGGGUGUCACCCAGUACCAGCAGGCAGUUAGGUUAGUGGUAUUGUGGUGUAUGAAUUGUGUGGUACUGCGGGGACAUCGUGUAUCAGCCCCAGUUAUGAAGUGAAUAAGGGAUUAAGGUAAUAAAUAUAAAACACCAACAAGUUUCGUGAGCUCUUCUGCUCCAACCGCCUCCUCGCGACCGCCCACGCUGUGCCGUGCAAGCUACCACCACCCUACAUAUUGGUUAGACCGCUAGGUCCGCUACAAAUUGGUGGCUAUAGCGGUGGGAUAGUUCAUUGACUAGUGUGUUUGCCACUGUGGUUAGUUAGGUCACUGCUCAAUCCCGGUGUGUAAACAGAUGCUGAAAUUUUGAGUGGCGUUGGUUGGUCACAGCCAAUAAUCAUGGCCAAACUCUGGAAUAGAACUUAAUGAACAGGGACCUCACUGUCACUGUGGAGCCAAGGAACCAGGACUUGGCUAGCCCACAACAUAUUGGAUCUAUCCUUCAGUCCACCAGCCCACAUUCACUCAUACCACUCUGGCUAAGCAUCUCCCACAUGAUGUCUCUGGAGCCAAGGAACCAGGACUUGGCUAGCCCACAUCUUGGGUCUAUCCAUACCUGUCCCUCACUCAACAUUCACUUAUACCACUCUGGCUAAGCAUCUCCCACAUGGUGUCUCUUAAAGUCUCUGGCCUUCCAUGCAAGGUCACGUUUUUCUCAUUGGCAGCAUCCCUCUUCUGGCAAAUGGACAGGACACUACCAGUAGUGUCAGUAAUUAUUAACUGAUGGCUCCCACUCUCCAUCUGCUGUACAUCAUACAGAACAUGGGGGCUCCCACCAGAGACAGAUGUGGUGAUAAUAGAGCUUUUUACAUCAUCCAACAGGCUCUGUCACACCUCCAAACCUUCCACCUGAGAGGCAAGGUAGUGAUCUACACUGACUUCCUCUCAUCCCUCUAUCUUCUUUGCUGCUACCCAACCACAUGAAUGACUCUUGUCCACUGUGCACAGCAAGCCCUCCUCUACCUCAGCACCCUGGCUGGGAGAUAAUCCUUAAGUGGGUGCCCUCCUACUCAGGUAUUCGAAGUAACUGUGUCUGAUGCCACAGUUAGGAAUGCCCUCUCUGCCUUAAUUAAAUACAACACCACUGCUUCUCUCCCUCUCCAACACCAAACUCCUCAUCUCAAACACAUACCGCUCAGUUUGGGACAACAUGCUUAGUGCCCUGCAUAUCACCUACGUGGGCCAGUAUCGGACUGACUCUUCCCCGUAACCUUGGAUACUGUAAUAGUCCCAUGUCUUAGAGGUCACCAUUGCCCACCUCUGCCUCUGAUUGCAUCUGUCCCAUGGCCUGUUCUGCUUCUGGUGCAGGAAUGUUCUUGAAACCAUGGAACACUUCAUGCUCCACUGCAUUGCGUUCUCAACUCUCAGGUCUGAUCGUCACAACAGUCAACUUACCCACAUUUUUGGCGAUCUCAGGCAUCCACCCUUCAUGGUAGACUGCUGCUCUCUGCCAUCCUGAGGAAGACCAGACUGCUGCCACACUUAUGAUAGCAUCACAAGACUAUCCCAGGGCUCAUAAGGAUCACUAGAUCUUCACUACCCUAACAACACCUACAACAAGGAUUCUAUUUGCAGAAGCCGGCAAAACACAUCAGCGAAUAUGUUUGAUGUGGCAGGGGAUCCCAUUGAUUUUGACUGCCUGAUCUAACGGUACUCUCAUAACCAGGCCUCUACUGUGCUAUCACAUUGAGCAUUAAAUGGUCUUGCCCACAUUUUGUAUCCUUGUUAUGGGAUUUCCACCUCUGCCUCAUCCUUUGUGAUCUAUGCAGCAUAUUGUCAUGGGCUACGGGUAGAUCAUGUUUGUAGGGUAGUAGCCUGCAUACUGUUGUAUUGGGGUGUAAGAUUGUACAGAUACAUUGCUUCUGCUAUAGCACAACCUUUUCCUCCUGUUGUUACUGUACUAUGACAUCUUUCAGUGAUACUAUUCCUGGAAAGAACUUGUGCACACUGAAAGUGUUGACGCAUUACAUACCAUCAUACUGUAAAAAUCACACCUGCAAUGUCCUUGACACCUCUGAGUUUGCACACGAGUUCCUGUUUCUCAAGCCACUCCACAACAGAUUGAGUACUAGUGACAUUGUACUUCAGUAUCAGCUUCAAGUCAGAGUAGUCUCCUGCAUCUUGGUUCUCCAUACUGCCUAGAUAGCUUGAGGGAAGGAAAAGACUUGUAAAAUCCUCUUUAUUGCGAAAAGGUGCAGAAAUAAGCACAUGCCAACUGCAGGUGCAGGGUGCGGAAUGGUACUGACCAAGGCAGUGUAUUUCCAGUUUCACUGUUCAUUCCAUCCAUUAGUACUAGUUUUGCCUCCACCGCAUAUUGCUGAAGUAGCAGCUCCACUCAUUCCACUUGAAGCCUCAUAAACAUAUAAUCCAGCAACCUCAAUCCUGAAGUUAUUAUAAUAUUUACAUCCAAUGCAGUCAUUACACUGCAACUUAUUACUGAAGUUGGAAACCACAGUUACUCUCACC
rnacentral:lncRNA from 1 species